ACAGAUUCCUUGGGCAUGUUGUACUUCGAUCAAGUCUGCUCUCCACUUGUGGCUGAGCAGCAGAAGUCCAGGAAGGUGGGAUUACACAGAAGUAUGACUGCAGGACCACACACUGGGAAUUCAAAGUAAUUUUGUAAAUGAAGAGUGGUGCAAUAGUGAAGGUGCUCAGCCUGACAUGCAUGUGAUUGCACAACCACAAUGGAAUAGCAGCUUUGUACAAUAAAGAUCCUAGCGUUAAGAAGCAGAGAGAUAUUUUAUCACAUCUAAGUAGCCUACUGCUGUCAAGGAUUAGACAAGGUUCACAAUUACAUUGCCAGAAUUGAACAGAAGCUGGUUCCACACAGGGGAAUACUGCAGUCCAACCAGGUUUCACAAACCCGGGUCAGGCCAGACUUCUGUCCCCACACUAGCAGAAAAUUUCUCCUGUCCCCCCUUCUCAUGAUGCGUCAUGGGGAGUGGGGGAGGUGGUAACAGCCCUCUGAGUUUUCCGGGCUCAUGGAAAUAAGUUUUCCUUCUUUGUGCCAAACUAAUUC
rnacentral:lncRNA from 11 species